UCCGUAGGUGAACCUGCGGAAGGAUCAUUAACGAGUUGGAACGUGGAGGGUUGAUGCUGGUGCAUAUAUUUUUAUGGUAUGCACAUGUGCUUGCCCUUCCACUCUUCAUCCACUCAACCCCCUGUGCACAGUUAGUAAUAGUAUUGUGGUGGUUGUUUGUUCUUCAUUGUUAGAAGCAGGGUAACCUUUUCUGGCAAAGUAGUAAGAAUAAUCUUGGUUCUACCACAACUACCACAACUAUGGACACUUUGACUUAUGUAUACAAACACUUUGCUUGUUCUUGUGAAUGUGUCAUGUUCCUUGUGAGCAGAAAUAUACAACUUUCAACAACGGAUCUCUUGGCUCUCGCAUCGAUGAAGAACGCAGCGAAAUGCGAUAAGUAAUGUGAAUUGCAGAAUUCAGUGAAUCAUCGAAUCUUUGAACGCACCUUGCGCCCCUUGGUAUUCCGAGGGGCAUGCCUGUUUGAGUGUCAUGUAAUUCUCAAUCCUCUUUUUCUUAAUUGAAGGAAGGGGCUUGGACUUGGAGGUAUAUAUAUAUAUAUCUGCUGGUACUGUUUGUAUUGGCUCCUCUCAAAUGCAUUAGCCGGACUGUAGUUUGCAUUGUUUAGUGGUAAUAGUUUUCUAUCUAUAUUCACUGUAGUGCUUACUUAGACUGUCUGCUUCGAAUAGGUCUAGCCUUUAUGUGUUGGACAGGUACUCUGUUACCUUGAACUAUUUGACCCCUUUGACCUCAAAUCRGGUAGGACUACCCGCUGAACUUAAGCAUAUCAAUAAGCGGAGGAA
rnacentral:rRNA from 1 species